GCUGAACAUGGGAGCUGCUUAACAACCAGGUCCAAAAGUGGGAGCAUUCUCAAAGUAACACUUUCCUCCCUGACUUACACAGUGAUAGGACAGAAAUACAAUGGCUGUCAAAGAAGAAAACUCUACAUUACUGUCACCUAGAAAGACAGUGGGAUAAAUGAUGUAUAUAUUCUGUGGAAUUGUUUCCCUGAAUCCUCAGAACAGACUUAUGAGGGCCUAUGAAGAUAAGCAGGGCCUAAGAUGAUGAAGAUCUAAUCUUUCAUUGGAAGACACUUGGGUGAUGCUAUAGGAUAAUGAAGAUUUCAUCUUCCGUUGGAGGAUACCUCAGAUGUCCAGAUCUUUAGGUCUUUUCUUUUAGGCUUUGGCUGUAUCUAGCAUAUCUCAAUCCAGAAACUUUCUGGUCCACAUUCUGCACAGUACACUUAACUCAGGUGGCCUGCUGAGGUCCUCAAAGGGGUCCUGUAGCUGAACUGGAAAAUGGAAAAGGCCGAAGCCAUUCUUCUUUCUGAGGUUUUGCAAUGAAAACUGUCCUGUAUUUUGUUGACCUCCCACUGCCAUUGCUUCACCACCAUCUACACCCACACCUCCCCACCCCCAGACACUGGGCUUCAUGUUUCUCUGAGAACAUGGACUUCAAUUCACCAUCUUAAUUCAGAAGUAUAAUGAUUUAAGAAGGCUCAGCUGCAGAUAUGUAAAGAGAGAUUUGCAAAAGCAUAAUCAAGUCAAGUCAUGGCAAGGUCAUAAGAAGCAGUCACAAAAGCAGCAGUAAUUUGAGUGCGAAUGGCAGUUUUCAUCAUGACUAUGCCCGUUCACAGGGACUCUUUGAAACAGAAGUUUGGUUGGAAGCAUUUCCCAUUCUGCUUGUGGCAGGGCAUGAAAGGGGCACAGAGGCUAUGGAUGCAUUGUUCCCCAGGCCCAGGCUCCUUCCUGGCUGUGUGAUGAUGGGCAAGUUGCUGGCCUCUCCAGUUGUGUCUUUGGAAAAUAGAUGUAAUUGCACCUACCU
rnacentral:lncRNA from 1 species